rnacentral:rRNA from 1 species
GAUAAACGCUAGCGGCAGGCCUAACACAUGCAAGUCGAGGGGCAGCAUAUGGAUUGCUUGCAAUCCAUGAUGGCGACCGGCGCACGGGUGCGUAACGCGUAUGUAACUUGCCUUAUGCAGGAGGAUAACCCGAAGAAAUUCGGCCUAAUACUCCAUAAGUGUCAGAGAGGCAUCUUUCGGGCAUAAAAGAUUUAUCGGCAUAAGAUAGACAUGCGUGACAUUAGCUAGUCGGUGAGGUAACGGCUCACCGAGGCAACGAUGUCUAGGGGUUCUGAGAGGAAGGUCCCCCACACUGGUACUGAGACACGGACCAGACUCCUACGGGAGGCAGCAGUGAGGAAUAUUGGUCAAUGGACGGAAGUCUGAACCAGCCAUGCCGCGUGCAGGAUGACGGCUCUAUGAGUUGUAAACUGCUUUUGUACGAGAAUAAUAGUUCUUACGUGUAGGGAUUUGAAUGUAUCGUACGAAUAAGGAUCGGCUAACUCCGUGCCAGCAGCCGCGGUAAUACGGAGGAUUCGAGCGUUAUCCGGAUUUAUUGGGUUUAAAGGGUGCGUAGGCUGUUGGAUAAGUUAGAGGUCAAAUGUCGGGGCUUAACCCCGUGCCUGCCUCUGAUACUGUUCGACUAGAGAGCGGAUGCAGCAGGCGGAAUGAGUAGUGUAGCGGUGAAAUGCUUAGAUAUUACUCAGAACACCGAUUGCGCAGGCAGCUUGCUAAUCCGCAUCUGACGCUGAUGCACGAAAGCGUGGGUAGCGAACAGGAUUAGAUACCCUGGUAGUCCACGCAGUAAACGAUGAUAACUCGUUGUCGGCGAUAUACAGUCGGUGACCCAGCGAAAGCGAUAAGUUAUCCACCUGGGGAGUACGACCGCAAGGUUGAAACUCAAAGGAAUUGACGGGGGCCCGCACAAGCGGAGGAACAUGUGGUUUAAUUCGAUGAUACGCGAGGAACCUUACCCGGGCUUGAAAGUUAGCGACCGCCUUUGAAAGAGGGCUUCUCUUCGGAGCGCGAAACUAGGUGCUGCAUGGUUGUCGUCAGCUCGUGCCGUGAGGUGUCGGGUUAAGUCCCAUAACGAGCGCAACCCCUGUUCACAGUUACCAGCACGUGAUGGUGGGGACUCUGUGAAGACUGCCGGUGUAAACCGCGAGGAAGGUGGGGAUGACGUCAAAUCAGCACGGCCCUUACGUCCGGGGCGACACACGUGUUACAAUGGCCGGUACAGAGGGCAGCGACCUGGUGACAGGAAGCGAAUCUCGUAAAGCCGGUCUCAGUUCGGAUUGGAGGCUGCAACUCGCCUCCAUGAAGUUGGAUUCGCUAGUAAUCGCGCAUCAGCCAUGGCGCGGUGAAUACGUUCCCGGGCCUUGUACACACCGCCCGUCAAGCCAUGGAAGUCGGGGGUGCCUGAAGUACGUGACCGCAAGGAGCGUCCUAGGGCAAAACCGAUAACUAGGGCUAAGUCGUAACAAGGUAGCCGUACCGGAAGGUGCGGCUGGAACACCUCCUUUCUGGAGUGCCCGAUUUCGACACCGAUUUCUUCCAACUGCAAUACUUUUUUUUGAUUUCACACGAUACCCCCUCUCGCACCGGGAUGGUGCCAAGAUCGGAUAUCGGCGUAAUAGAGGCCACCCCUAACCGGGGUUGCCCGAAAAAGUUCAUUGACACGGAUUAAGGACGAGUAAGAGCGGCAUUGUUAGAUGCCGCGGGCGAUAUUCAAGACUUCAAUGAGAUUAAGAAUAUCGUCAAGUAAGAAAGUAUGCAAGGGCGUACGGGGGAUGCCUAGGCUUAUGGAGGCUACGAAGGACGUGUACAGCUGCGAAAAGCUCCGGGGAUCUGCCAAAGAGACUAGAUCCGGAGAUAUCCGAAUGGGGCAACCCGGCGGUCUGAAGGGCCGUCACUCUAUGGUAAAUAGAGAGCCAACCCGCUGAACUGAAACAUCUAAGUAAGCGGAGGAAAAGAAAGAAACCUCGAUUUCCCGAGUAGCGGCGAGCGAAAAGGAAACAGCCUAAACCACGGUUGUUACGGCAAUCGUGGGGUCGUAGGACUGCGCGAUGACCUUGUCCGAGAACUGGAACCGUCUGGAAAGUCGGGCCAUAGCGGGUGAAAGCCCCGUACAGGUAAUCGAGACAAGCGAUAGCAGUAUCCUGAGUAGGGCGGGACACGUGUAAUCCUGUCUGAAUCCGCGGGGCCCACCCCGCAAGGCUAAAUACUCCCAUAAGACCGAUAGUGAACC